GACGAACGCUGGCGGCGUGCUUAACACAUGCAAGUCGAGCGAUGAAACUUCUUCGGAAGUGGAUUAGCGGCGGACGGGUGAGUAACACGUGGGUAACCUGCCUCAUAGAGGGGAAUAGCCUUCCGAAAGGAAGAUUAAUACCGCAUAAGAUUGUAGUAUCGCAUGAUAUAGCAAUUAAAGGAGUAAUCCGCUAUGAGAUGGACCCGCGUCGCAUUAGCUAGUUGGUGAGGUAACGGCUCACCAAGGCGACGAUGCGUAGCCGACCUGAGAGGGUGAUCGGCCACAUUGGGACUGAGACACGGCCCAGACUCCUACGGGAGGCAGCAGUGGGGAAUAUUGCACAAUGGGGGAAACCCUGAUGCAGCAACGCCGCGUGAGUGAUGACGGUCUUCGGAUUGUAAAGCUCUGUCUUUAGGGACGAUAAUGACGGUACCUAAGGAGGAAGCCACGGCUAACUACGUG
rnacentral:rRNA from 1 species